rnacentral:rRNA from 1 species
UACGUAGGGGGCAAGCGUUGUCCGGAUUCAUUGGGCGUAAAGUAGCGUGUAGGCGGCCAGGUAGGUCGGUUGUGAAAACUGGAGGCUCAACCUUCAGAGGUCGACCGAAACCAUCUGGCUAGAGUCCGGGAGAGGAGAGUGGAAUUCCUGGUGUAGCGGUGAAAUGCGCAGAUAUCAGGAAGAACACCCGUGGCGAAAGCGGCUCUCUGGAACGGUACUGACGCUGAGACGCGAAAGCGUGGGGAGCGAACAGG